UAACCCAUGAACUGCUUUUGAAACUGCAAGACUUGAGUGAAGUAGAGGUAGGCGGAAUUCCCGGUGUAGNNNUGAAAUGCGUAGAGAUCGGGAGGAACACCAGUGGCGAAGGCGGCCUACUGGGCUUUAACUGACGCUGAGGCACGAAAGCAUGGGUAGCAAACAGGAUUAGAUACCCUGGUAGUCCAUGCCGUAAACGAUGAUUACUAGGUGUGGGGGGUCUGACCCCCUCCGUGCCGGAGUUAACACAAUAAGUAAUCCACCUGGGGAGUACGACCGCAAGGUUGAAACUCAAAGGAAUUGACGGGGGCCCGCACAAGCAGUGGAGUAUGUGGAUUAAUUCGAAGCAACGCGAAGAACCUUACCAGGUCUUGACAUCCAGCUAACGAAGUAGAGAUACAUUAGGUGCCCUUCGGGGAAAGCUGAGACAGGUGGUGCAUGGUUGUCGUCAGCUCGUGUCGUGAGAUGUUGGGUUAAGUCCCGCAACGAGCGCAACCCUUACUGUUAGUUGCUACGCAAGAGCACUCUAGCAGGACCGCCGUUGACAAAACGGAGGAAGGUGGGGAUGAUGUCAAAUCAUCAUGCCCCUUAUGACCUGGGCCUCACACGUACUACAAUGGCCGUUAACAGAGGGAAGCAAUACCGCGAGGUGGAGCAAAACCCUAAAAACGGUCCCAGUUCGGAUUGUAGGCUGCAACCCGCCUGCAUGAAGUUGGAAUUGCUAGUAAUCGCGGAUCAGCAUGCCGCGGUGAAUACGUUCCCGGGCCUUGUACACACCGCCCGUCACACCAUGGGAGCCGGUAAUACCCGAAGUCAGUAGUCUAACCGCAAGGAGGGCGCUGCCGAAGGUAGGAUUGGCGACUGGGGUGAAGUCGUAACAAGGUAGCCGUA
rnacentral:rRNA from 1 species